AAUUGCUGUGUCACAUUCCCUACCCAGAGCUGCCCAGUGAUCUUUACCCAGCUUAGUUUCUCCAGGAGCCCUCCUCGAAGAAGAAACCUUGCCUCAUAAUCUGGAAAACUUCAUCACUUCCCUGGCUCUGGGCCAAAGCAAUCAUUUUAAGGUGCUUGGAGCGGGGAAGGGGGGCUGAGAGGAGGGUGGUUUGCUGUGGGUUUCUCCUCCCAGACUUGCCUAAAUUCCCAAGCAGGCAAAUUACUCACUGAGCACCCUGCACCCUAGUGCCUCGGGACCAGUCCAGGAGACAGGGCAGAGGAGGACACAUCUGCCAGGUGGCUCCCAGGGUCCCACCCCCGAGUCAUUCUCAUACUCAGUGCCACUGUUAAUGCCUUCCGCUUUAGCUUAAUUAAGCCAUCUGCCCACAUUAAAUGGUAAAUUAUCUCAAUCACUCCCUGGAUCCCAGAGGGGAGAAAGAGAUGAAAGGAAAAUGUCAUCCCUUG
rnacentral:lncRNA from 1 species